GUACUGAUGAAGAGUCCCAAACUAGGACGAAACGUCUGUCCAGUAC
rfam:Trichobilharzia regenti genome assembly, scaffold: TRE_scaffold0011516